rnacentral:pre_miRNA from 1 species
UGGCUGUGAAUCUUGGCACUGGGAGAAUUCACAGUUGAUUUCACUAUUCUGUGGUUCUGCGGGUGCCAAAAUUCACGUUUC